rnacentral:rRNA from 1 species
UACGUAGGCAGCGAGCGUUGUUCGGAAUUACUGGGCGUAAAGAGUGUGUAGGCGGUGCUAUAAGUUCGGUGUGAAAUCUCCCGGCUCAACUGGGAGGGUGCGCCGAAAACUGUAGUGCUCGAACGUGGGAGAGGAAAGCGGAAUUCCUGGUGUAGCGGUGAAAUGCGUAGAUAUCAGGAGGAACACCUGCGGUGAAGACGGGUUGCUGGGCUGACACUGACGCUGAGGCGCGAAAGCCAGGGGAGCAAACGGG